CAAGUUUGGGACAACUACCGGAAACGGUAGCUAAUACCGAAUAGUUGUUUUCUUCUCCUGAAGAGAACUGGAAAGACGGAGCAAUCUGUCACUUGGGGAUGGGCCUGCGGCGCAUUAGCUAGUUGGUGGGGUAACGGCUCACCAAGGCGACGAUGCGUAGCCGACCUGAGAGGGUGAUCGGCCACACUGGGACUGAGACACGGCCCAGACUCCUACGGGAGGCAGCAGUAGGGAAUCUUCCGCAAUGGGCGAAAGCCUGACGGAGCAAUGCCGCGUGAGUGAUGAAGGUUUUCGGAUCGUAAAGCUCUGUUGCCAGGGAAGAACGCUUGGGAGAGUAACUGCUCUCAAGGUGACGGUACCUGAGAAGAAAGCCCCGGCUAACUACGUGCCAGCAGCCGCGGUAAUACGUAGGGGGCAAGCGUUGUCCGGAAUUAUUGGGCGUAAAGCGCGCGCAGGCGGUCAUUUAAGUCUGGUGUUUAAUCCCGGGGCUCAACCCCGGAUCGCACUGGAAACUGGGUGACUUGAGUGCAGAAGAGGAGAGUGGAAUUCCACGUGUAGCGGUGAAAUGCGUAGAUAUGUGGAGGAACACCAGUGGCGAAGGCGACUCUCUGGGCUGUAAC
rnacentral:rRNA from 1 species